rnacentral:miRNA from 14 species
AGAAUAAGUUCGCUAUUGCACC